rnacentral:rRNA from 1 species
CGCUGGCGGCGUGCCUAAUACAUGCAAGUCGAACGCACUCUCGUUUAGAUUGAAGGAGCUUGCUCCUGAUUGAUAAACAUUUGAGUGGAGUGGCGGACGGGUGAGUAACACGUGGGUAACCUGCCCUAAGUGGGGAUAACAUUUGGAAACAGAUGCUAAUACCGCAUAAAACCUAACACCGCAUGGUGUAGGGUUGAAAGAUGGUUUCGGCUAUCACUUUAGGAUGGACCCGCGGUGCAUUAGUUAGUUGGUGAGGUAAAGGCUCACCAAGACCGUGAUGCAUAGCCGACCUGAGAGGGUAAUCGGCCACACUGGGACUGAGACACGGCCCAGACUCCUACGGGAGGCAGCAGUAGGGAAUCUUCCACAAUGGACGAAAGUCUGAUGGAGCAACGCCGCGUGAGUGAAGAAGGUUUUCGGAUCGUAAAACUCUGUUGUUGGAGAAGAAUGUAUCUGAUAGUAACUGAUCAGGUAGUGACGGUAUCCAACCAGAAAGCCACGGCUAACUACGUG